GUACACUCCUACGGGAGGCAGCAGUGGGGAAUAUUGGACAAUGGGCGCAAGCCUGAUCCAGCCAUGCCGCGUGAGUGAUGCAGGCCCUAGGGUUGUAAAGCUCUUUCACCGGUGAAGAUAAUGACGGUAACCGGAGAAGAAGCCCCGGCUACCUUCGUGCCAGCAGCCGCGGUAAUACGAAGGGGGCUAGCGUUGUUCGGAUUUACUGGGCGUAAAGCGCACGUAGGCGGACUAUUAAGUCAGGGGUGAAAUCCCGGGGCUCAACCCCGGAACUGCCUUUGAUACUGGUAGUCUUGAGUUCGAGAGAGGUGAGUGGAAUUCCGAGUGUAGAGGUGAAAUUCGUAGAUAUUCGGAGGAACACCAGUGGCGAAGGCGGCUCACUGGCUCGAUACUGACGCUGAGGUGCGAAAGCGUGGGGAGCAAACAGGAUUAGAUACCCGGGUAGUCCC
rnacentral:rRNA from 1 species